rnacentral:rRNA from 1 species
UACGUAGGGUGCGAGCGUUAAUCGGAAUACUGGGCGUAAAGCGUGCGCAGGCGGUUUGAUAAGUCAGAUGUGAAAGCCCCGGGCUCAACCUGGGAACUGCGUUUGAAACUGUCAGGCUAGAGUGUGUCAGAGGGAGGUAGAAUUCCACGUGUAGCAGUGAAAUGCGUAGAGAUGUGGAGGAAUACCGAUGGCGAAGGCAGCCUCCUGGGAUAACACUGACGCUCAUGCACGAAAGCGUGGGGAGCAAACAGG